UUGUUUUAAAAAGAAACACCCUGAAAGGAAGAUUAUUUAUUUAUUUUAUUUUAUUUCUAGGAGGAGAUGCCGAGGGACGUGUAAACCACUUUGCAAGAUCAUCCCAGGAAAGGAACUAAAGGAGCCAGAACUUAGGGAGGAGGAGGAUAUCAGGAAGCCUCCUAAUCCUUGCUGUGUUGCCAAAUGAUGGAAAUGUGAAAGCUGCCAGAAAGAACAGGGAUCAGAAGUGUAAGUAGUCAAUUUUUGGGGGGGAGUAAAACAUAACUAUCCCAUGGGGGAAAAAAGAAAAA
rnacentral:lncRNA from 1 species